rnacentral:lncRNA from 10 species
AGGAAAAUUCUCUCAAGAAAUUCUAAAACUAAGAAGUUUUCAUCCUGCGGUCAAUUCCAAAGGCUCUGUGAUGAUUUCUUUGUGCUGUUGAUAUUAAUUUCCCAGAGACUUUCAAGUUUCUUCGUCCUAAAAACUCAUCAAGAUUUGAGCAUGCUUAAACAAAAGGGAGCAUCCACACAAAUGAAAGGCAUGGCCGAAGCCUCCCUUUUCCAUCCCCAAUGGGUGACCUACUCCACACCCUCAGUUGGUGUGGUCAUGAUAUAUCAGUUAUAGUCCCAUUCCAGCCUGCUGAGAAGCUUUAAAAGAACAUCUUUUAACAUUGCCAGUGAGCAGACGGAUGUAGAAAGAAUAACAGCAGAAGGACUCUCAAUUCAAAGACUUAAACCAGCAGGGAAUUGCCUCCAUUGAAACUAUUAUUUCCAGAAAUACUAAUGAGCAGCCUACAUCAGCUGAGAAAAGUGAAACUGGAAUUCCUAAAGAUAAAAGCCAGGUACUGUAAUGUGGGAACGAGCCAUAGGCUUAGAAGAAAAGGAUGUGGUUCCUAGCACUGCUGCCCAGUUCUUUUCUUGUGUCACUGUUUGUGAGCUUUUAGGCUAAGUCCUUCCAUUAAUUACAUCAUUGAACUGUCACAAUAUCCCUGUAAUGAGGCUUCUAUUAUCCGCUCCAUUUUGUCAGUGAUAAUUGUGUAGGUGAGGUUAAGAAUUCUCAGAGGUGCACAGAGAGUAAGAAGAGUUGGGUUUCCAGUUCAGGAUUCCCUGACUCCAAGUCAUCAACUUUAAUGCUAUUUACUCUUUUGAAGGCCCUUUGUCAUCCUGAUCCUGAGUUCUCACAGGAACAGUUUUGCAUAUCUUGUACACAAAAAGAGACCCAUGAAAUAAUCAAAAUCCAGUUCAUUUAAUUUUUCAAAGCUAUUUCUCUGAAAAGAUUUUAUAAAGAACCAUUUUAUAAAUACAACAUAGUUUUAAGAGGCAUUUUUUUUUCUCCAAAGUAGUAAUGUUAGAAAGCUGCUAUUCUUACAGUUAGAAGGGGUGGCGCGUGGGGGGGAACUUGUAGAUAUUGCAACGCAUCAUUCAGCGGUGAGCAUUGCUUAGGACUUCCUAAGACAUUAAAUAAAAUAACAUUGCUUUAACAAAAAUUGCAAUUAGCAGUAAACAUCUGGCAAUUGUCUCCACAUUUUUUCAAUAUUCUUCUAGCAUGAAUGCAACCAAAUAAUUGUUAUUUUAAACUAAAAUAAGCAUAUUUAUAUAUUCAGGUCUAUAACUGACACAGUAAUAAAAAUGGUAGAUUAAGUUUAAAGCAGGAAAAUCUUAUAGCUAUAUAUUAUUUACUGAGUGGUAUAAAAAGUAUUAGAAAAAUGGGCUAUUUAAUUUUAUAAACCUAGUUUAAAGGAGCCCAUGAUAAUUUGAAAGUUCUAGUUUUACAUAUUAUCAGUCCUAAGAAUAUAGUAGAGGAAUAUUAUGUUAGAAUAUCCUUCAUUCUCUUGGGGAAUAAAUUAAAACACAAAGCAGGUAAAGUGACUUCAAUUGCCAGCAGAGCCAGAAAUGAGAAAGAUGCCCUCUUUUGCAAAAUGUACCCAAAUCCCUGCUCAUCAUAUUCACACACCCAAAACUUUGCUUCUCACAAAAAAACUAUAUUAGGAGUUACUUGCUGUUUGAAAUGGGGCUGAGUGUUAUUAUCAUGAAGAGCUCGCUUAAAAUUUUAGUGAUAGUGUUAAGGUGACAUCAAAUACAUUAAAAAAAAAAACUAGAGAAAAUGGUGAAAAAUGAAGACAUAAAGAGAAAAAUAAUUCUUUUAAAAAUAGUGCUGCUGUUAUUCUUCAGAGUAAUAGUUUCAUGUUCUUAAACUCUGGAUUGUGCUAUGGUUCCCUUCACCACCAACACGAGGGUUCCUAAUCCACA